UAGUUGGUGAGGUAAUGGCUCACCAAGGCUAUGACGCAUAACUGGUCUGAGAGGAUGAUCAGUCACACUGGAACUGAGACACGGUCCAGACUCCUACGGGAGGCAGCAGUAGGGAAUAUUGCUCAAUGGGGGAAACCCUGAAGCAUCAACGCCGCGUGGAGGAUGACACUUUUCGGAGCGUAAACUCCUUUUGUUAGGGAAGAAUAAUGACGGUACCUAACGAAUAAGCACCGGCUAACUCCGUGCCAGCAGCCGCGGUAAUACGUAGGGUGCAAGCGUUACUCGGAAUCACUGGGCGUAAAGGACGCGUAGGCGGAUUAUCAAGUCUUUUGUGAAAUCUAAUGGCUCAACCAUUAAACUGC
rnacentral:rRNA from 1 species